UAGUUAAAAAAAAAUGCUUAUGUUUUUAUAAGCAUAGCCAAAGGUCUGGAAUUUUGUGGCUGGAGGGGCCCUGUCUCGUUCAUCUCCAUUUUGCAGAGGUGGUGACUGAAGCCACUGAGUGUCGGUGCUUUACUCAUGGUCAUCCAGUUGAUCCCUCAGUGGCAGAACCAGGCCUGGGAGCCUGUUUCUGGCUGCCUGGUCCAGUGCGCUUUGGGAGGUCACAACCCAAACCUAGUCUGGGGCAAGACCUCCCUUUGGGAGAUGGCCUCUGAUAUUUUUGGAGCACCAGGUCUUCCUUAGUGUUUGAGACCGUCUCGGAGCUGACUGGCUUUCACAUGAGAAACAGUUGGGUCUGUGUUACAUGUGUGUCUAUUAUUUUAUGGGAUAAUAGUUCAGGGCCGUCAGGGGGAAACUCAGUCCAGGUAGCUCACAGAGGGACCCACUGUACAUAAGCGAGCAUGACCUGUGCAGGCUGCACUCCUUUGCAGAGUUGUCUGAUGUCCUGUGGGCCAUGCUGAUGCGCGUGGGCCUCCGCGUUGACACCACCUAUGGCGUCUUGCUACUGCUCCCGGUUAUCGCGCUCUUUGCAGUUUUGACCAUUUUCAUCCUUCUGAUCAUGGAAGGGCUUUCUGCGUUUCUUCACGCCAUACGCCUCCACUGGGUAGAAUUUCAGAACAAAUUCUACGUUGGUGCAGGCACCAAAUUUGUUCCUUUCUCAUUCAGUCUACUUUCAUCAAAGUUCAAUAACGACGACAGUGUGGCAUGAUCAUAUUGCUGUAACCAACAAGCUUUCAGAUUUAUGGAGAAUGACCAUGUUAUAGACUUUCACUUAUGUCAGAUUUAUGAUAGGAAAAAUUCCAUCUUCAUUACUGCCUUAUGACAUAGCCAAAUAAUUCUGUAAGAUAUACCUCUUCCUCAUAUGUUAAAUAUUUUGUAAAGUUUACCAAUUUGAGAUAUAAAAAUUUCUUUUGGUUUUUUAUGAUGAGCAAAUAUAAGUUAAUGCCAAACGUUAUGUUAAAGUUAUUUUUUCAAAUACAGGAUUUGGGGAGAGAAGCCAAUUUUGCAUGGCUAGUUGAAAAUGGUAUUAGAUACUUAUUUCCUUUAAACUUUAUUUAAAACAAACAACAGAGUUAAUCUGUCACCUGAAGUUGCCAGAUAAUAUUUUCCAACAGCUGAAGUAGGGAUAGUUUUUUAAAAAAUUUAAUGAUGGGUAAUCAAAACAUUCACAUUUAUUCUGCUGGAUUUAAAAAUAUGUACUUUUUUUUUUUUUUUGAGAUGAAGUCUUGCUGUGUCACGUAGGCUGGAGUGCAAUGGCACGAUCGUGUCUCAUUGCAACUUCCGCCUCCUGGAUUCAGGUGAUUCUCCUGUCUCAGCCUCCCGAGUAACUGGGAUUACAGGCAUGCGCCACCGUGACCAGCUAA
rnacentral:lncRNA from 10 species